rnacentral:rRNA from 1 species
GACGUAGGGCGCGAGCGUUGUCCGGAAUUACUGGGCGUAAAGAGCUCGUAGGUGGUUUGUCGCGUUGUUCGUGAAAACUCACAGCUUAACUGUGGGCGUGCGGGCGAUACGGGCAGACUGGAGUACUGCAGGGGAGACUGGAAUUCCCGGUGUAGCGGUGGAAUGCGCAGAUAUCAGGAGGAACACCGGUGGCGAAGGCGGAUCUCUGGGCCUUACCUGACGCUCAGGUGCGAAAGCUAGGGGAGCGAACAGG